GUCCACGCCGUAAACGAUGGAUGCUAGCCGUUGGCGGGUUUACUCGUCAGUGGCGCAGCUAACGCAUUAAGCAUCCCGCCUGGGGAGUACGGUCGCAAGAUUAAAACUCAAAGGAAUUGACGGGGGCCCGCACAAGCGGUGGAGCAUGUGGUUCAAUUCGAAGCAACGCGCAGAACCUUACCAGCCCUUGACAUCCCGAUCGCGGGUACCAGAGAUGGAACCCUUCAGUUCGGCUGGAUCGGAGACAGGUGCUGCAUGGCUGUCGU
rnacentral:rRNA from 1 species